ACUUCUUGUUUGUCUUCCCCAGAUAACAGUCCUUCUAUUGACACAUCUGUGACAGACUCCAGCAAUUUAGAUCUUCCUUCAUGUUUCAAGGGUUCUGACAAACAUUGCUGAUGUCAUCAAAAACCUAACGGAUACAAACAAUGGCAGCCCCAGAAAAGUCUUCCCCUGUAAAUGCCCUCAGAGUUUCUUUUAUUGGAGAGGCUGGCAUUGACCAUGGGCCCUGCGAACAGAAUUUUUAACCGGUCCGUAUAUAUAUAUAUAUUAGUUUUUAAAUAUGUAUUUCAUGUAUUCUUUUUCCCUUUUAUGAAAAGAAAUGAUGUCAGGAAUAGAGAAGCGGUUCUUUGAGGGAGGUGAGGAUGGCAAAAAUCUCAAGUAUUCAAUGACAGACUUGGACAAACAUAACUUCAAGUAGGUUAUUACAAAAUGGAAAUUAUGGACUAACACAAUUUUAUAUGUGAAGAACAUGUUAGCAAAGCUUUCCAAUGGCUGUUGACAUGGACACAGAUCUAAAUAAAGAUUAACAUUAGUUGAGCUAUAUUUUGACACCUAUUGUAAACCAUCUUUCAAAUGACUUUUCUCUCCCAAGCAACUCUCAUUCUCAUUUUAAUUUUAUACAGUUACCCAUUUUGCAGUAAUAUAUUUACUUUUUCAAUCACAGGACUAUUGGAGAGAUAUUUGCCGUUAGCAUCGCACAGACCACCGCCAAACUUUUUUUUGUAGUGGUGUUACAAGUACAUAUCCACUGGAGAAAUGGAUCAGGAAGCAAUAACUGAAAGAGAUGUUACAGACCCUGAACUGAUUGAGCUCAUUAAAGAAGUGUUUCAUUUCAGCUUGGAAAAUUUGCAUUGAAUUUUGCUUCAAUAUUUUAUGUUUAGGUAGUGAAAAUGACAUCCUUUUGAAACAAUACGUAAAACUUGUCAACUCUGAGUAGGUCUUACAGUACACAUUUGAGCUUGCUUGGGUUUUUUGUGUUUCAUAGAGUCAGGCAGCUGACGAAACAACCCUGAUAGAGUGCGCAGACAGAAUUUUGUCAUUUGGAUACACAGGGACUUUGUGCAGUAGGACAUUUCUUUUGUUUUAGGCAAUUGUAGUGGACCUGAUUUUUUAAUUCAGUAUUUUACUUUGUGCUACAGCUCUGUAGUUCUACACGCUACUGUGAGGUUACUUCCCAUGCUGCAACAAAUCUGCUCUGGAAUUAAACUGUAUGGGCUUCUCAGCUCAGUCCAACAAGAUACUGACAUUUGCAGACAGCUGUUUGUUCCAGGAUCAUUUCGCAAGGCAAGCGAAAAAGACUAGAUAACAUGAACUGAAUCAAGAAACAUUUUAAAUAAAUGGUUUCUUUUUUUUUGUAAAUUUAAAUUUAAACGAUUUACCGGUCAAUCUACGUUCCUGCUCUCACCUAAGAGCAAGUUUUGCCAGUGGCUGACAGGACAGUCUCAUAUUGUCAUAUUGUCAUGGAAUUUUCUCUAAUACCUUGUCAUAAAGUUUGAGUUCAAUACUUGGUCAUUUGUUUUUCUUUGAAAAACACAAUAUUUUUGUUUUCUCUAUAGACAUCCUAAAGUUCCAUUUGUUAGCCCACUUCUCCUCUUUGUUUUCUUUCUGCAUUCAGUUUACCACAUGGGCAGUUUUUUCAUCUUGAUCUCAGGAUCAAACUGAUUCUACUGAUGAUAAAUAUUUUCCAGAUUUAGUUUAACAAAUAGAAUAUUAUUCUAAAUAACUACAGUACAGAAAUCAUUAUGACAAUGGAGAUGUAAACCACAUAUGCAAGUGUGUGUGUGUGUGUGUGUCUGACAAAAAUGUGUUCUUCGGUAUGGGGUCAAGAUUGCAAUGGGAUGCUGUAGGCAUGGGUCUCCACCAUCUCCUAAGAGAAAGUCUCCAGCUGGUGGAAACAGAGUCUGCAGGUACAUCGGUGAUCUGCGCAGGACAAGGGCAUGAUGUACAGAUCCUGGAUUGCAAAUGUACACGUCUAUAAAUGCACCCUUGUGAUGGAAGGAAAAAGCUUUGUUUAAAUAAAAAAUGUGUCUCUGCAGGAGGAAGAAUCCUAAUGUGGCACCUGUUGAAGGGACCAGAAGCACAGCCGAAUGCCUCAUGGCCAGCAAGUACUGAGGCUCCAACUGACAAUGUUUGGUUUACAAGUCCGAGUCUCUAACCAUUAUAGUGUUAUCAGCUAUCAUUUAUUUAUUCAUUCAUUGGGGUAACAUGUAACGUUCAAUAACCACAAUACACUUAUGCAAUCCACAAUAAAAUACUCUGAAUAAACACAUUACAUUUAACAACGAUACAACUUACCUUUGUGAAACUGUAACCACGCCGGGUAAACGUAGAUUCCUCUGUCACGUCAUCCGAACAGGGUCAGACAUUCUGGUUAUGACGUUGAAAGGAUUAUUCCUAUAGAAACUGGGGGUUGGAGCAAUAGAGUUGUGUAUUUGUUGGCCUUGAUUGUUUGUUUCAGGUUUUUGUGUUUUGUUGUGUGUUUAAAAUGAUGAUAUUAUGCAUUUAUUUAUUUAUUGAUUAGAUAUUAUUUA